rnacentral:ncRNA from 3 species
UCUUGGAGUAGGUCAUUGGGUGGAUCCUCUAUUUCCUUACGUGGGCCACUGGAUGGCUCCUCCAUGUCU